GACGAACGCUGGCGGCGUGCUUAACACAUGCAAGUCGAACGCUGAAGCUCAGCUUGCUGGGUGGAUGAGUGGCGAACGGGUGAGUAACACGUGAGUAACCUGCCCUCUUCUUUGGGAUAACGCCCGGAAACGGGUGCUAAUACUGGAUAUUCACUGAUUCUCGCAUGGGGGUUGGUGGAAAGGUUUUUUCUGGUGGGGGAUGGGCUCGCGGCCUAUCAGCUUGUUGGUGGGGUGAUGGCCUACCAAGGCUUUGACGGGUAGCCGGCCUGAGAGGGUGACCGGUCACAUUGGGACUGAGAUACGGCCCAGACUCCGACGGGAGGCAGCAGUGGGGAAUAUUGCACAAUGGGCGAAAGCCGGAUGCAGCGACGCCGCGUGAGGGAUGGAGGCCUUCGGGUUGUAAACCUCUUUCGCUCAUGGUCAAGCCGCAGCUUUGGGUUGUGGUGAGGGUAGUGGGUAAAGAAGCGCCGGCUAACUACGUG
rnacentral:rRNA from 1 species